GAAAUGCGAUAAGUAAUGUGAAUUGCAGAAUUCAGUGAAUCAUCGAAUCUUUGAACGCACAUUGCGCCCGCCAGUAUUCUGGCGGGCAUGCCUGUCCGAGCGUCAUUUCAACCAUCAAGCCCCCGGGCUUGUGUUGGGGACCUGCGGCUGCCCGCAGGCCCUGAAAACCAGUGGCGGGCUCGCUGUCACACCGAGCGUAGUAGCAAUCACCUCGCUCAGGGCGUGCUGCGGGUUCCGGCCGUUAAACAGCCUUACAAAACCCAAUGUUGACCUCGGAUCAGGUAGGAAGACCCGCUGAACUUAAGC
rnacentral:misc_RNA from 1 species